rnacentral:misc_RNA from 1 species
GACUUCAUGAAGUUGGAAUCGCUAGUAAUCGCGAAUCAGCAUGUCGCGGUGAAUACGUUCUCGGGGUUUGUACACACCGCCCGUCAAACCACGAAAGUGGACAAUACCCGAAAGCGAUAGCCUAACUGCGCAAGCAGAGGGAAUCGUCUAAGGUAGGGUCGAUGAUUGGGGUUAAGUCGUAACAAGGUAUCCCUACCGGAAGGUGGGGAUGGAUCACCUCCUUUCUAAGGAAAUUUUUAAAAUCAUCAUCUUCAGUUUUGAAAGACUUAAAUUAAUUUAAAAAAAUAAGUUUUUCUUUUUCAUUAAUUAUUCUUAUAGUAUUUAAUUUUUUAAGGGCCUAUAGCUCAGUUGGUUAGAGCACACGCCUGAUAAGCGUGAGGUCGGUGGUUCAAGUCCAUUUAGGCCCACCAGUCUAAAUGAACUGAAAAUCAAAAAAAAGUUCUUUGAAAAGUAGAUAAACAACGUAAAUUCUCAAAAUAAUGAAGAAAAUAAGGGCGUACAGUGGAUGCCUUGGCACUAAGAGCCGAUGAAGGAC